CCUACGGGUGGCAGCAGUGAGGAAUAUUGGUCAAUGGACGAAAGUCUGAACCAGCCACGCCGCGUGAAGGAAGAAGGAUCUAUGAGUUGUAAACUUCUUUUGUAUGAGGGUAAAGGCAGAAACGUGUUCCUGUUUGUAUGUACCGUAUGAAUAAGGAUCGGCUAACUCCGUGCCAGCAGCCGCGGUAAUACGGAGGAUGCAAGCGUUAUCCGGAUUUAUUGGGUUUAAAGGGUGCGUAGGUGGUUGAAUAAGUAAGAGGUGAAAUCGCGUGGCUCAACUUUGGAAUUGCCGUUGAUACUGUUCGACUAGAGAAUAGUUGCGGUAGGCGGAAUGUGUGGUGUAGCGGUGAAAUGCUUAGAGAUCAUACAGAACACCGAUUGCGAAGGCAGCUUACCAAGCUAUUACUGACGUUGAGGCACGAAAGCGUGGGGAGCAAACAGGAUUAGAUACCCUAGUAGUC
rnacentral:rRNA from 1 species